rnacentral:piRNA from 1 species
UGCACACCGCCCACACUCAACGUCCCUUCCU